rnacentral:lncRNA from 1 species
GCAAGUGGGCAUGGCGAUGGGACGUGCGGCGGUGGCAGAAGGGCAGUUGGCUAGAAGGCCCUAGGUGCGGCGCACCUAGGGUUAGGGUUUCUUUUUUUUUAUUUGUGUUUUGGGCCAUUUGGGUCGUGCAUUGUAAUUGGGCUUGGGUUGUAAUUGGGCCUGGGGUAUUGGGUUUGCUGAUUUGUAAAUUGGACUGGACUUUAAUUUAUUUUGGUUUUAUUUGUUCUUUGGUUUAAU